GACAGCAGCCGCCGCCAGUCAGCAGCGGAGGCGGACGCAGAGCCUGGCCAAUGAGACGCGCGGAGGUGGCAGGGGGCGGGGUGUCUGCGGCCGGGGGAGCCCAGGGUAGGUGGGCGCCGAGUCAGACCCGGGGAUCCCGUGCGUGGGAGGUGUGCAGGCGGCGGCCGGGAGAGGGGUGUUUCACCAUUAAAACUGCCAGCUUUCUGCAGAUACUUCAGCAAGGGGUGGGAGUGCGGGGCGCGCCUGAAGCCCGAGUGUUAUUUUUGCAGUCCGUGAAAAUGUUCCCGCGUACCACAGAUUGAGGAUAGAUACCUGUUUGGCGGAUAGAGCCAUAGCACACCACAACAACUACCCCGAGAGGGCCCAGGCCCUUCUCAAUAGACACAAACUCUGCUCGCCACAUCUGUUCUCGGGAGGGCCAAGAUGCGUUGAGGAGUAAGCAGUGGGAUGUGUGGUGCCUAAUGAUAGGAGGAAAGAUUUAGGGCGUCGAAGAAAGUAUCCAGCAAAGGCUCUCCCCCAGAAGCACAACCCCUUCCUAUUCCUGUAGAGAUUUCUGCUGUGAUAGGUGUUUACUUUGUGAUCAAAGUGGAAAUGGCUUAAGUUACCCUUCAAGAAAUGCUUACCUUUUAAUAGAUUCUUGAAGUUCUCAAGGAAAGAGGAUGUUAAAAGCUAGAACGUUGGCAGGGACGUGGGAACUGCAAGAGGGCCAGCCCAUCGCCCGCCAGAUCACACCUAUUAUUGCCAACCGCACCUACCUGUAAGACUCAGUGCCCCUGUCAAUGGGUAUAUCUCAGACUUUACACUGCAUGACUCAAUCAGCCUACACCAGGACAAGUGCACUGUCAGCGCCUUCAAUAAACCAAGUUCUAGAAGAGUCUGAGGAUUUGGACAACACUAAUCAACCAAGCCAGAGGCACCCUUGCAGGACUCUACAUACACUCUUGACAUAUAUGACACGGAGAUGGAUCUGAAUAAGAAAAGGUUAGAGGAAGAGAGCUACUCCACCAUGACUCCCAAGAAUUCUGCUAAGUCAUUCUAGCUGCUCACCAACAUUUGUUUGCAAAGAACAUUUCUAUGCCUCCAAAAGCCUGGAAUAGGAACCAAGAAAAAUGCUUCUCCUUAAUGUGCUUGGAAAGAAUUCAUAUGUUGAAACCUAAUCCCCCAUAUGAUGGCAUUUGAAGGUGGGGGUCUUUGAGACGUGAUUACAUCAUAAGGAUGGACCCUUCAUGAGCUUAAUGCCCUUAUAAAAGAGACCCCGGAAAGCUCCCUUGCCCCUUCCACCGUGAGAGGACACAGUGAAAAGGCCACCAUCUAUGAACCAGGAAGUGGGCUCUCAUCAGACACUGAACCUGCUGGGGCCUUGAUCUUGGACUCUAGAUCUGUGAUAAAUAAAUUUAUGUUGUUUAUAAGCCACCCAGGCUAUGGUAUUUUGUUAUAGCAGCC
rnacentral:lncRNA from 1 species